CCUGGCUACAAAGGGAUUGGAUAUGCUCGAUCCCGCGAGCACACCGUUCCUUCUUUUUCUCCUUGAAUGAAUACGCUAUUGUCCGGUUGGAAUAUUAUCGCAAUUUUAUGUUAAAAAUACCAUAAAGAUUGAUUUUAAACAGCGUUUGACAUGCUUCUAAGUACGGAGGACCUGAGCCCUAGGACCAUGCCUCAGGACUACCUGGCAUGAUGACUCCUUGCUGUCCCCAGUCCACCUGGCCAUGCUGCUGCUCCAGUUUCAACUGUUCUGCCUGCGGCUAUGGAACCCUGACCUGUUCAACGGACGUGCUACCUGUCCCAGACCUGCUGUUUUCAACUCUCUAGAGACAGCAGGAGCGGUAGAGAUACUCUCAAUGAUCGGCUAUGAAAAGCCAACUGACAUUUACUCUUGAGGUGCUGACUUGUUGCACCCUCGACAACUACUGUGAUUAUUAUUAUUUGACCAUGCUGGUCAUUUAUGAACAUUUGAACAUCUUGGCCAUGUUCUGUUACCCGGCACAGCCAGAAGAGGACUGGCCAACCCUCAGAGCCUGGUUCCUCUCUAGGUUUCUUCCUAGGUUUUGGCCUUUCUGGGGUGUGUUUCCUAGCCACCGUGCUUCUACACCUGCAUUGCUUGCUGUUUGGGGUUUUAGGCUGGGUUUCUGUACAGCACUUUGAGAUAUCAUCUGAUGUAAGAAGGGCUAUAUAAAUACAUUUGAUUUGAUUUUGAUUUGAUCAAGUUUGCAGAUGACACAAGAGUAGUAGGCCUGAUUACCAACAAUGACUAGACAGCCUACAGGGAGGAGGUGAGGGCCCUGGCGGAGUUGUGCCAGGAAAAUAAUCUCUCCCUCAACGUCAAGAAAAUGAAGGAGCUGAUCAUGGACUUCAGGAAACAGCAGAGGGAGCACGCCCCUAUCCACAUCAACGGGACCACAGUGGAGAAGGUGGAAAGCUUCAAGUUCCUCGGUGUACACAUCACUGACAAUCUGAAAUGGUCCACCCACAUAGACAGUGUGGUGAAGUAGGCGCAACAGCGCCUCUUCAAUCUCAGGAGGCUGAAGAGAUUUGCUUUGGCCCCUAAGACCUUCACAAACUUUUACAGAUGCACAAUUGAGAGGUACGACAACUUCACCGCCCGCAACCGCAGUGCUCUCCAGAGGGUGGUGCUGUCUGCCCAACACAUCACCGGGGGCACACUACCUGCAGCAUCCGAUAUCACAGGAAGGCCAAAAAGAUCAUCAAGGAUAUCGAC
rnacentral:lncRNA from 1 species